rnacentral:rRNA from 1 species
CCUACGGGGGGCUGCAGUGAGGAAUAUUGGUCAAUGGACGAGAGUCUGAACCAGCCAAGUAGCGUGAAGGAUGACUGCCCUAUGGGUUGUAAACCUCUUUUGUCAGGGAGCAAUUGGCGCUACGUGUAGCGUUAUCGAGAGGACCUGAAGAAAAAGCAUCGGGUAACUCCGUGCCAGCAGCCGCGGUAAUACGGAGGAUGCGAGCGUUAUCCGGAUUUAUUGGGUUUAAAGGGUGCGUAGGCGGGAUGCCAAGUCAGGGGUAAAAUCGCGGGGCUAAACCUCGCUGCGCCGUUGAAACUGGCGUUCUUGAGUGGGCGAGAAGUAUGCGGAAUGAGUGGUGUAGCGGUGAAAUGUAUAGAUAUCACGCAGAACUCCGAUUGCGAAGGCAGCAUACCGGCGCCCAACUGACGCUGAGGCACGAAAGCGUGGGUAUCGAACAGGAUUAGAUACCCUAGUAGUC